GGACCCGCACAACCAGUGGAGCGUGUGGUUUAAUUCGAGACGAAGCGAAAAACCUCACCAGGACUUGACAUGUAGCCGUUUUAGGUCCCUAGAAAUAGGGACUGAUCCCCUCAAGAACAUAAAAAUUGUGUUUUUGAGGGGGAUGGUUACACAGGUGCUGCAUGGUUGUCGUCAGCUCGUGCCGUGAGGUGUUCCCUUAAGUGGGGAAACGAGUGCAACCCUUGUCCUGUGUUAUAUUUUUCACAGGAGACUGCCCUGCUUUGCAGGGAGGAAGGAGAGGCGGACGUCAAAUCAGCAUGGCCCUUACGUCCUGGGCUACACACACCCUACAAUGGCGAAAAACAAUGAGUUGCAAGCUCGCGAGAGUAAGCUAAUCUCUGAAAUUUCGCCUCAGUUCAGAUCGCAGUCUGCAAUUCGACUGCGUGAAGGAGGAAUUGGUAGUAAUCGCGGAUCAGCAUGGCCGCGGUGAAUACGUUCUCGGGUCUU
rnacentral:rRNA from 1 species